rnacentral:rRNA from 1 species
GUCGAGAAUCUUCCGCAAUGCGCGAAAGCGUGACGGAGCGACACCGCGUGAUGGAUGAAGUCCUUCGGGGCGUAAACAUCUUUUAUAAAGGAGGAAAUUUUUGACGUUACUUUAUGAAUAAGGGGCUCCCAAUCUCGUGCCAGCAGGAGCGGUAAUACGAGAGCCUCAAGCGUUAUCCGGAAUCAUUGGGCGUAAAGGGUGCGUAGGUGGUUUGAUUAGUCUCCCGUUAAAACUUCGAGCUUAACUCGAAAAGAGCGGGGGAAACGGUCAAACUAGAGUAUGUGAGAGGUGUGUGGAACUCAUGGUGUAGGGGUGAAAUCCAUUGAUAUCAUGGGGAACACCAAAAGCGAAGGCAGCACACUGGCACAUCACUGACACUGAGGCACGAAACCUAAGGUAGCGAAUGGGAUUAGAUACCCGAGUAGUCC